rnacentral:rRNA from 1 species
CCUACGGGUGGCAGCAGUGGGGAAUAUUGCACAAUGGGGGAAACUCUGAUGCAGCGACGCCGCGUGAGUGAAGAAGUAUUUCGGUAUGUAAAGCUCUAUCAGCAGGGAAGAAAAUGACGGUACCUGAUUAAGACGCCCCGGCUAACUACGUGCCAGCAGCCGCGGUAAUACGUAGGGGGCAAGCGUUAUCCGGAUUUACUGGGUGUAAAGGGAGCGUAGACGGCAGGACAAGUGUGGAGUGAAAUGCCGGGGCUUAACCCCGGAACUGCUUUGGAAACUGUGCAGCUAGAGUGCAGGAGAGGUAAGUGGAAUGCCUAGUGUAGCGGUGAAAUGCAUAGAGAUCACGAGGAACCCCGAUUGCGAAGGCAGCCUGCCGGGGUGCGACUGACGCUGAGGCUCGAAGGUGCGGGUAUCAAACAGGAUUAGAUACCCCUGUAGUC